GUGAACAUAUAAUAUGGGACACUAGCAGUGAAUAAUAUAUGUUUCAUGAGAGAUAUUUUUAUAUUUAAACAAUUUGAAAGCCUAUAUAUAUGUGACCUUACAUCAAGCAAGAAAAUACACUCUGUUAACAUGGCUAACAAGCUCUCUUUCUUCUUUUGCAUUCUCCUUGUUUCACUGGCUGUUGAUUCAUUUUGGUCCUCAAACACUCAAGUGAUGGCUCUGCGAGAUCUACCUUUAUUAGAAGAAGCUGUACAAGUGAUUAAGCAGGUUGUCCUCCCAGAUCUUCUAAAAUAUUAUAAAGGAUGUAACAAACCUUGCAAUUCUCAUGCAGAUUGCAAUUACAAAGGUGGACCGUGUACACAAUGUCGGCUCAAAUAUGGCAAGCGAUCCAAGUUUACCACAUGCCAAAUUUGGAAAAAUUGACCGAUCCAUUUGAAUGUCGUAUGAAAAAAGUAGUGUUUUCUAUAAUCUUAUCUGUAUUUCCUUUCUUUUUUGGUUUCUCAUUGAAUAAAGAAGUAGUUCUUAGUUAGUUUUACAUUUCUGUUCGUUUCUUGAUUGGAUUCACGUCAAAUAGUGAAAACUGUUUUGCCUAGUAAAGGCUGUUUUUUUUUUCUUAAAAAUUUUCCGCCGUAGAUGGCGUCUCCCUUGUAUUGAUAAAUACAUAGAGUACAGCAAAGAGGCAAGGCGAGCUUAGCUACCAGUAAAAGCUGUGGUGCAGCGAAUGAGGCUGCUCCUUCCUUAA